GGCAAUUUUCUUCAUCAAUAUUACAGGAGGGGAUUUAAUGAGAGGACCGUGUGAAAACAGAGAUCAUGGAUGUUGUUCGGGGACGAUAUGUAACAAAUCCCAGCAAAUAUGUACAGUUUGCAGACCUGGUUAUAUCGGAGAAUUCUGAAAUAUCACAUGUAGCUACCCUCUCUAUGGUAUGUUGUGUCUCAUGACGUGUUCUGCUGAUGAAUCUAAAGACCACUAUGGUUUUAGAACUGGAUGUUCCAAUGAAGGUAAUCAAUGGUUUUCCAAGGUCGCGAAAGUCUGACAUAUUUGCUUACGUAGUACGAAAUAUUAAGUGAUCAAGAAUUUUGGCGCUCUCUGAUUGGUCUAGACGACUUUUCCUAAGAUGUACCUCAGAUUGAAUUCACCGGGAUGUUUAUUCGAGUGUUCCCUCUUUACCA